rnacentral:rRNA from 1 species
UACGGAGGGUGCAAGCGUUAUCCGGAUUCACUGGGUUUAAAGGGUGUGUAGGCGGGUAGUUAAGUCAGUGGUGAAAUCUCCGGGCUCAACCCGGAAACUGCCAUUGAUACUAUCUAUCUUGAAUAUUGUUGAGGUAGGCGGAAUAUAUCAUGUAGCGGUGAAAUGCUUAGAUAUGAUAUAGAACACCGAUUGCGAAGGCAGCUUACUAAACAAUUAUUGACGCUGAGGCACGAAAGCGUGGGGAUCAAACAGG